rnacentral:rRNA from 1 species
AGAGUUUGAUCAUGGCUCAGAAUCAACGCUGGCGGCGUGCCUCAGACAUGCAAGUCGAACGCGAAAGUUUCCUUCGGGAGACAAGUAGAGUGGCGCACGGGUGAGUAACACGUAGGUAAUCUACCUUCGGGUGGGGAAUAACCCAGGGAAACUUGGGCUAACACCGCAUAAUGCAGCGGCACCACAUGGUGACAGUUGUUAAAGCGGGGGAUUUUCGGACCUCGCGCCUGAAGAGGAGCCUGCGGCAGAUUAGCUUGUUGGUAAGGUAACGGCUUACCAAGGCGACGAUCUGUAGCCGGCCUGAGAGGGCGGUCGGCCACACUGACACUGACAUACGGGUCAGACUCCUACGGGAGGCAGCAGUCGGGAAUUUUGGGCAAUGGGCGAAAGCCUGACCCAGCAACGCCGCGUGAAGGAUGAAAUCCCUCGGGAUGUAAACUUCGCAAGAAUGGGAAGAAUUAGUAGGGGACAAUACCCCCUAUGAUGACGGUACCAUUUGUAAGCUCCGGCUAACUCCGUGCCAGCAGCCGCGGUAAUACGGGGGGAGCAAGCGUUGUUCGGAUUUACUGGGCGUAAAGGGCGCGUAGGCGGCCAGCGCAAGUCAGUUGUGAAAUCUCCGGGCUUAACUCGGAAAGGUCAACUGAUACUGCGCGGCUAGAGUGCGGAAGGGGCAACUGGAAUUCUCGGUGUAGCGGUGAAAUGCGUAGAUAUCGAGAGGAACACCUGCGGCGAAGGCGGGUUGCUGGGCCGACACUGACGCUGAUGCGCGAAAGCCAGGGGAGCGAACGGGAUUAGAUACCCCGGUAGUCC